AAAGCUCAAAUUUAAAAUCUGGCGUGCCUUUGGUCGUCUGAGUUGUAGUCUGGAGAAGUGUUUUCCGCGCUGGACCGUGUACAAGUCCCUUGGAACAGGGCGUCAUAGAGGGUGAGAAUCCCGUCUUUGACAUGGACUACCAGUGCUUUGUGAUGCGCUCUCAAAGAGUCGAGUUGUUUGGGAAUGCAGCUCAAAAUGGGUGGUAAAUUCCAUCUAAAGCUAAAUAUAGGCGAGAGACCGAUAGCGAA
rnacentral:rRNA from 1 species